rnacentral:rRNA from 1 species
UACGUAGGGUGCAAGCGUUGUCCGGAAUUAUUGGGCGUAAAGAGCUCGUAGGCGGUUUGUCGCGUCUGCCGUGAAAGUCCGGGGCUCAACUCCGGAUCUGCGGUGGGUACGGGCAGACUAGAGUGCAGUAGGGGAGACUGGAAUUCCUGGUGUAGCGGUGAAAUGCGCAGAUAUCAGGAGGAACACCGGUGGCGAAGGCGGGUCUCUGGGCCGAUACUGACGCUGAGGAGCGAAAGCGUGGGGAGCGAACAGG